UACGCCGAAGAAAGUGGAAAGGUCACAGCAGAAAACGGCAUCCGAAUCCGCCAACAGCAAAAGUUAAUAACAUAGGAAAAGCACAGACGGUUCUUAAGAUAAAGGAACAGGAAGGCAAAGCGCAGGUACUGGACAAAUACUGCAGAAACAGCUGGGGAACGAGCUGAACCAAGAGAUGUUGGAUCUGACCUUAAAUAUUCUUAGUGCCAAUCCGGCCAUCGUCCCAGUUGAAUCUUCGAUCGGUGUGCAUCGAAAAGUUCUGCCAUUCUACGAGCUUGAGGGAGCAACCGUCUCGGUCUGGUCAGUUCAUCGGGACUGUUUGAAAAGAUUCUGAUUUCCCUCCCGGCCUUAAGGUAACAGAAAUGUGAAUCGAUACGGAAAGUCAUGGAAAUUUCAAGUUGAGCCAUAUAAGGUUUGAGUUUCUGCCGAAAAAAAAAUAUUUAAAAUACAAUAUUUCGGUACCACGAUUGU